UUGGCUUCUGUGGUCAUCACUCAAAAUCCAAAGAAGUAGCUGUAAGGAGAGAUCUCUCUACGAACAGUCAGUCAACCUUGCAAACAGGGAUGACUCUUACUGUUGGGCACCACCAAGAUAAAACUACCACAAUGAAAGACAAGGAGAAGUACAAAUUGCCUAUCGCUUCUCCAGCGAUUGAAAAUGAUUAUCCUAGAAUUGAAGAAAACAAUACAAAUAACCACUCAGCGGAAGAUUUCUCUAUUGACAAAUCACAGAAUAUGGAUGUCGUACUUGCAGAAGUGGAGUCCUCCUCUUGUGGCUUAGAUAGUUCUCUGACAAAUCAAGCCUCAGAGACAAUGAUAGCAAAUAGUAUGGACAGAGACCUGUCAAAUAAGAGUUCACAGCAAUUAAAUGGGAUAAGGAGAAAACUGGCAGAAGAAAAAUCUAAGAAUGCUGUAGUCAAUUUGACGGAGAGGCUGAGAAGAGACCUUUUAAAUCUAUUAGACCCCAAAGAACUUAGCAAACCAUUAAGACACACAGGAGAAUCUGUUCUAACUGGAACAAAUGUUACGGAUACUAGUGCACGGUUUCAUAAUCCAGGAGGUGUCAUUUCAAAACAAAAGCACCAGGUGACAGAAAGCUUUCUAAUCCAGGCUGGCUUAUGUCAUAGACAAGAGACAGAUACAACCAGUCAUUGGGGAAGGAAAUGGACUAGUGGCCUGUCUGACAAAAAUCAGCUGCCAAAUGAAAGUGUCUCACCCAGGGCACAGGAACAAGAAACAAACACAGAAAGCUUUAUGCAAAGAUAUAAGAAAGAGUGUAUGGACCCUAAAAUAGACGAGAGUUUCAUUUUCACGACUUCUCCAGUAAAGGACAUCGCAACAACCAGCCUUCCAGCGUUGAAUAUGAUCAGCAGUGAAAAUGGAUUACAAACAGGAUAUGUGACUUUACAAAGCUGUAUCGCUCACGAUGUGUCCCAUGAUCAGAGGGAUCGCGAUCAGCAACAACCAUGUGGGGAACAAAGAGUUAAUAUUACAAGUAACAACAACAUUUUUAAAAUCUCUUUCUGAAGCAUUAGGGAUGGCCACAGCUGGAGAUGGGACAUUGGACAGGGAGGGGCAGGGCUCUGAGGUGGCACUGAGCACUCUCUCUCUCUUUCUCUCUCAGGUGCUUAUCUGACUGGUUCUUGCUCGCAUGUUCAAGGUCUAACUGAUCAUCAUAUGUGGGUCAGGAAGGAAUAUUUCCCCAGGUCAGACUGGCAGUAACCUUUGGGGAGGAUGGGAGAGAGAGAGGGGUCACCUUUCUCUGCUGCGUGUGAGCGCAGGUCACUUACCAGGAUUAUCUGCAUAUAUCUCAUGUAAUCAUUUUCCUGCCAUUGUGGGGGCCUCAAGCAUUGGUUCACCUCAGUCCUUCCUAUUCUCUGCCUGCGGCACAUAAGUCUAAUCUCCUGUGGGCUGU
rnacentral:lncRNA from 1 species